rnacentral:rRNA from 1 species
UACGAAGGGGGGCUAGCGUUGUUCGGAAUUACUGGGCGUAAAGCGCGCGCAGGCGGUCUUCCAAGUCAGUGGUGAAAGCCCGGAGCUCAACUCCGGAACUGCCAUUGAAACUGUUGGACUUGAGUACGAGAGAGGUGAGUGGAAUUCCCAGUGUAGAGGUGAAAUUCGUAGAUAUUGGGGAAGAACACCGGUGGCGAAGGCGGCUCACUGGCUCGUAACUGACGCUCAGGCGCGACAGCGUGGGGAUCAAACAGG